ensembl:snoRNA
GAUGCGGGACUUGCAGGCACCACGGGUGCGGGUGCGGCUGCCCUGCUGCACCUGUGACGCUGGGGCAGAGAGGAAGCGGCUACUUCUACGCUCAGUGCUCAGAACAGUGGGCGCUUAGGAUGGUUUGUAGCCGGACAACA